UCUCACAUUAUUUUCUCUGUAAUAACAUCUCUCUCCAUUCCAGAGAGUUCCAAACGCUCCUCCUUCUCUCUACUUUCUCUCUCUACAUUUUCUAUGAUUUCUCGGUCUAUUGUCAAUGUUUACAUGGUAUCAGAGCCUAGACGACGAUCCGACUAUGUUUCUCUACAUCUCGUUGUCUUUGUUGAACUCCUUUUUGAGAUUUUUUGGGGAUUUUUCUGAGACCUUAUGGUCGAUGAUGCUUCUGACCUAGAUCGGAUGUUUUUCCGAGUUUUUCAUCAUGAUAUCUGAGUGUAUUUUCUUCACUCGCACAUUCUGAGAGAUUUUCUGCUGAUUUUUGGGUGGCUUCUCGGUGACCUAUCGGCUUUUAGGAUUUCUGGUGGUUUAACCUAGACUUCUACUGUUAUCCGGUGGCUCGAUUCUCACUCAGUGGAUGUUUUGGGUGCCUUUCCGACAUUCCUGACCACAUUUCAGUAAGGACUUCAAAGGUUACACCUAGGGUUUUGUACCUAGGGUUUUCUCUGUUGUUUGAAGGUCGAUCUUCUCCGGUCGCGAAGAAGGAGGGUAACUCUGUCCUUAUCUUGAGUAUUGUAUGCUUUGUGUGUGAUUAUCUGACUCCGUAUGNN
rnacentral:lncRNA from 1 species